rnacentral:tRNA from 1 species
GCACUAGUAGCUUCAGCACCAGAGCGCCGGUCUUGUAAACCGGAUGUCGAGGGUUAAAAUCCCUCCUCGUGCU